rnacentral:tRNA from 2 species
GCCCGGAUGGCGGAGUGGUUAUCGCGCCGGUCUUGAAAACCGGUUUCCUUUGGAUCCCUAGGUUCGAAUCCUAGUCCGGGCG